rnacentral:rRNA from 1 species
UACGUAGGGUGCAAGCGUUGUCCGGAAUUAUUGGGCGUAAAGAGCUCGUAGGCGGUCUGUCGCGUCGGCUGUGAAAACUCGGGGCUCAACCCCGAGCCUGCAGUCGAUACGGGCAGACUAGAGUGCUGUAGGGGAGACUGGAAUUCCUGGUGUAGCGGUGAAAUGCGCAGAUAUCAGGAGGAACACCGGUGGCGAAGGCGGGUCUCUGGGCAGUAACUGACGCUGAGGAGCGAAGGCGUGGGGAGCGAACAGG